AAACAGCUUGCUGUUUCGCUGACGAGUGGCGGACGGGUGAGUAAUGUCUGGGAAACUGCCUGAUGGAGGGGGAUAACUACUGGAAACGGUAGCUAAUACCGCAUAACGUCGCAAGACCAAAGAGGGGGACCCUCGGGCCUCUUGCCAUCGGAUGUGCCCAGAUGGGAUUAGCUUGUUGGUGGGGUAACGGCUCACCAAGGCGACGAUCCCUAGCUGGUCUGAGAGGAUGACCAGCCACACUGGAACUGAGACACGGUCCAGACUCCUACGGGAGGCAGCAGUGGGGAAUAUUGCACAAUGGGCGCAAGCCUGAUGCAGCCAUGCCGCGUGUAUGAAGAAGGCCUUCGGGUUGUAAAGUACUUUCAGCGGGGAGGAAGGGAGUAAAGUUAAUACCUUUGCUCAUUGACGUUACCCGCAGAAGAAGCACCGGCUAACUCCGUGCCAGCAGCCGCGGUAAUACGGAGGGUGCAAGCGUUAAUCGGAAUUACUGGGCGUAAAGCGCACGCAGGCGGUUUGUUAAGUCAGAUGUGAAAUCCCCGGGCUCAACCUGGGAACUGCAUCUGAUACUGGCAAGCUUGAGUCUCGUAGAGGGGGGUAGAAUUCCAGGUGUAGCGGUGAAAUGCGUAGAGAUCUGGAGGAAUACCGGUGGCGAAGGCGGCCCCCUGGACGAAGACUGACGCUCAGGUG
rnacentral:rRNA from 1 species